GCUUGCUCCCGGAUGUUAGCGGCGGACGGGUGAGUAACACGUGGGUAACCUGCCUGUAAGACUGGGAUAACUCCGGGAAACCGGAGCUAAUACCGGAUAGUUCCUUGAACCGCAUGGUUCAAGGAUGAAAGACGGUUUCGGCUGUCACUUACAGAUGGACCCGCGGCGCAUUAGCUAGUUGGUGGGGUAAUGGCUCACCAAGGCGACGAUGCGUACCCGACCUGAGAGGGUGAUCGGCCACACUGGGACUGAGACACGGCCCAGACUCCUACGGGAGGCAGCAGUAGGGAAUCUUCCGCAAUGGACGAAAGUCUGACGGAGCAACGCCGCGUGAGUGAUGAAGGUUUUCGGAUCGUAAAGCUCUGUUGUUAGGGAAAAACAAGUGCGAGAGUAACUGCUCGCACCUUGACGGUACCUAACCAGAAAGCCACGGCUAACUACGUGCCAGCAGCCGCGGUAAUACGUAGGUGGCAAGCGUUGUCCGGAAUUAUUGGGCGUAAAGGGCUCGCAGGCGGUUUCUUAAGUCUGAUGUGAAAGCCCCCGGCUCAACCGGGGAGGGUCAUUGGAAACUGGGAAACUUGAGUGCAGAAGAGGAGAGUGGAAUUCCACGUGUAGCGGUGAAAUGCGUAGAGAUGUGGAGGAACACCAGUGGCGAAGGCGACUCUCUGGUCUGUAACUGACGCUGAGGAGCGAAAGCGUGGGGAGCGAACAGGAUUAGAUACCCUGGUAGUCCACGCCGUAAACGAUGAGUGCUAAGUGUUAGGGGGUUUCCGCCCCUUAGUGCUGCAGCUAACGCAUU
rnacentral:rRNA from 1 species